rnacentral:tRNA from 1 species
GGAUGUAGCUCAGUGGUAGAGUGCCUGCCUGGCACGCAUGAGACUCUGGGUUCAAUCCCCAGAACCA